rnacentral:misc_RNA from 1 species
CACACCAUCCAAACCUUUCUGUCCCGUGAAUGGAGGUGCGGACUCCGGAUGCCGACACACUGGCAUCUGGGGAUCGCAUCUCACACUCAACAUAAACCAAACCAGGACGGUCGCGUCUGCGGCAGGCUCUUUGCGGGGCCCGUUGCGGGUGUGACUGUCCGCCCCCCAUACUGAAUGAAUGCGUAGCCUGAAUCUAAACAGUCUCUGAGGCAGACCUCGCGGUCUGCUACGGAAACUGCUUAAUC